rnacentral:rRNA from 1 species
GAUGAACGCUAGCGGCAGGCUUAAUACAUGCAAGUCGAGGGGCAGCAGGUCUGUAGCAAUACAGAUGCUGGCGACCGGCAAACGGGUGCGGAACACGUACAGAACCUUCCUUCGAGCGGGGAAUAGCCCGGAGAAAUCCGGAUUAAUACCCCAUAGUAAAUUGGAGAGGCAUCUCUUUGAUUUUAAAGAUUUAUCACUUGAAGAUGGCUGUGCGCCUGAUUAGGUAGUUGGCGGGGUAACGGCCCACCAAGCCUACGAUCAGUAACUGGUGUGAGAGCACGACCAGUCACACGGGCACUGAGACACGGGCCCGACUCCUACGGGAGGCAGCAGUAAGGAAUAUUGGUCAAUGGACGAAAGUCUGAACCAGCCAUGCCGCGUGGAGGAUGAAGGUCCUCUGGAUUGUAAACUUCUUUUAUCUGGGAAGAAACCCACGAAUUCUUUUGUGGUUGACGGUACCAGAUGAAUAAGCACCGGCUAACUCCGUGCCAGCAGCCGCGGUAAUACGGAGGGUGCAAGCGUUAUCCGGAUUCACUGGGUUUAAAGGGUGCGUAGGUGGGUUGGUAAGUCAGUGGUGAAAUCCCCGAGCUUAACUCGGAAACUGCCAUGGAUACUACUGGUCUUGAAUACUGUGAAGGUGAGCGGAAUAUGUCAUGUAGCGGUGAAAUGCUUAGAUAUGACAUAGAACACCAAUUGCGAAGGUAUGACAUAGAACACCAAUUGCGAAGGCAGCUCACUGCGCAGUCAUUGACGCUGAGGCACGAAAGCGUGGGGAUCAAACAGGAUUAGAUACCCUGGUAGUCCACGCCCUAAACGAUGGAUACUCGACAUACGUGAUAUGACAAUGUGUGUCUGAGCGAAAGCAUUUAAGUAUCCCCAACUGGGAAGUACGACCGGCAAGAUUGAAAACUCACGAAUUGGCCGGGGGGUUCCGCCCAACAAA